ensembl:lincRNA
AUUUUCCAAAACAAAAGUGAGAAAUUGUUACACAUUUUGCAUUCAAACUGAAGUGAUAAACAUCAUUUUGCUUACAGAAAACCAGUCGCUUAUGAGAGGAUAAGAAUUGAGCAAGGCAGGUAACAGCUUAGUAUUACCGUGAAGGUAAUUUUGACCCCAGGGAGCACACUUUGAGAAUUGUCACUCUAAUAGAUAGCUAAAAAUCCAGUGUCCUCUUAUCCCAAUAUUUAUCAGACACUAUGGUCUUCAUCUCAAGAUGGCAACUGUCCAGUUAGUUGGGUGAGCCAGGUUGUAUGAAUCACAAACCCUUUUCUGUAGUUUUUAAGUUCUUGUGGGGCAAUGUUAUAUCCUGUCCCUUUUUCCCUCACAGGACUUUCUUUGAGCGUCAGAGUCCCAAGACAGAGGCCUCGGAAAGUUUCAGACUGCUAGAAUGGAAGAUUUCACCUUCAGUGACGUGCAUAUUAAACUAGGCUUUCCUUACACUGGCACCAGGGAGACUGUGAGCAUGUUGUCGUUAUUACUGACAUAAGUGUAGGGGCAGGUUGCUGUCAACAGUGUCAUUCAAGGCUGAAGGAUAAGAACAUGGUCUUUAAACUCAAGGCAAUUUCUUGAUGAAGUGGUCAACAAAAGAAACAAUGAUCUGUUUCAAUGCUAAAGAGAAAAAGCAAUUGGCAAUUAUUAAGAGUUUGUUGGACACGAGCUUAUGCGUACUGAUGACUGCUUGGAUAGGGCACUUUAUAUCAAGAAGCACUGGCUGUGGACCAGAAAAUGCUCCGUUUGUAAAAUGUACACAGCUAGAGUGUUUUUUACUAAUGAUAGCAUUCAGUUAAUGAUACAUCAAGUGGUAGAAGUGUUUUGGAAAUCUUUGAAGAAUGUGAGAACUACACCAUCUAUCAUGAGGCUUCUAAGGUAAAGAUCCUUCAACUGUCAUAAAAAUUAGGGAAAAAAGUAAGAGUGAAUUAUUUAAUAAAUAACACAACAUUAAGAAAAGCUAUUGUGUAAUUUAAUUUUAUAGUGGGCUCUUUUGUAACAUAAUGUUAGGUUUAGUUUUGUUAGGAACUAGGCACAUAAGACAUUUUAGUGAGACUAAAAUGAUAAUGAAAGUAAAAAGAUCUUGAGUGUAUAUGCAUACCUUCACUGAAGUAACAUUUAAAUUGAAGCUUCAAUUCUUACAGAAACUUUCUAUGAAUCAUAAGUGCUGUGAGUUUAAAAUAUGUCAGUUUAGUAUUAAGAUUUUAAAAAUAGGUUUUAUAUGACUGUGGAGAGAUGGAAUAAUCAAGAUCCUACUGACUGUAGCUAUCUAUAUUGAAAUAUGUUCUGCAAACUUUUUUGGGUGGAAAAUGUAAUUCCAUUUAAGAUUUUUAAAAGUGCUAUAAAAUAGAUUUUAAAUGCUUGAAAAAAAUUUAAGUUAUACUUUCUCUUUCCUAGGUUAUAUUUAAAUUCACCUAAGUUUCACAUCUAGAUGGCUAAGAACAGACAUCAUUUACCAUGUAAAUAAGCAACAAUGAAUCCUGUAGGACUAUGCAUUUAAAAGAUUCACAGUGAAGUUAUGUCUUAUGGACUUGAAAUGCUACAUGUCAGUUUAGUCGAUUGGUUUGGAGAUGACAAGCACCCAUUCCUGGUAUGUCUACCAUGGUUCUCAUUCUGUUAGUACACGGAGGAUCACUAUAGAGAAUUAAGAGACUACUCCAUGGCUGACUUAUAACAUUCCUAUGUUUUUAUUUUCCUGUAUUGAAGAGUGCUAAAAUUGAGCAGAUCGAAAAUUCCACUGGAAAACCACAGACUUAAGAUAAAUAAGUGAUAUAUCCAAUUUCUAUAAUUCCACAGGUAAAAUGUAUUUUUGAUUCCUUUUUCUUUUUUUCCCAGAGAAGGGGUCUUGCUAUGUUGUCCAGGCUGGCCUUGAACUUGUGGCCUCAAGCAAUCUUCCCAUCUUGGCUUCCCAAAAGUGCUAGAUUACAGUUGUGAGCCACUGCACCUGGCCCGAUGCUUUUAUUAUUUAUACUGCAUUCCUUUUAGGUCAUGCAUGAAUAUGCAAUACUCAAUUCAUACUCUCAAAACAACAAACCUAGUAGAAAGUUAAUUAUUGUCAUAAUGCAUUAUUCCAUGUGUACUGUCAAUGCAUUCAUUUUAGUAGACAGAGAAGAAAGGUAUCAGUUAAAACAUUGUUUUAUUAUUUAUGGAAAAUGUUAGUUCUUAAGGUUAAUAUUGUUACCAAAGACUCAGAUACCUAUUAUGGUUUCCUGGUGAAACUGAGAAGACAGAUUAACCAGAUUACUGCCACAGUUUGUCAGUGUGUUGUGUAUUAGUCAUACCCACCAAGUUCCAGUCAAAAGAAAUUCUUAACUUUGUAUAUUUUGGAGCUACAAAAUCUUGGAUCCAAGACAACUUCCAUUUAUAUUUCAUCCUAUUAAAUACAACAAGCUUAUUUAUAGCAAAUAUGAAAAUGAUGUCAUGAACUUAUCAAUAUUCUUUGUAGUUAGAAAUGAAUUCCAUUUUGAUAUAAUAUUGUAUACACCUACACAAAAAUCACUAUAUGUAGAAAAGCAAUAGCUAUUUCUUUAAACAUCUUUGUCAAUAAGAAUCAUUAAACAUUUGGAUUUUCCCGGGAGAAAGGUUGGUCAUCUCUAACAUUCUCUGUGUGUUGCCGAAUUACACAACACAAAUAUAAACACAUUUGCGUCUGUUUCAGCUUUCUUUGUUUCUUAAUUCUUUAAGGAUAUGGGUUUGCUGUUUCCGACAGAUGGUCCUUUCUCUGGCCAAUGGGACAAAAAUGAGUUGUUAGCGAAGCCCGCACAGAGCCCUUUAAAAGCCUUUGCUCUUGUACAGGAUUAGAUGGCAGGUCUCAUCUUGACCUGACAUCCAGGUAAGUGUGUGGGGGAUGGGAACAUACACUGACAUUACUGCACCAGCACAACAAGGUAAAUCUGUCAGUAUACUAUUUGAAAUCACUGGAUAUAAUAGCAGUUAAAGCGCUUAAGGACUCUAUAUAAUGUUCACACACACAAAGUCCUAAUCAGGUUCUCUGUUUCAGAGGGUGUAUCUGAAAUUUCUCCAAGCACCUGAGAAAUCUUCAAUAAUCUAUUCUGCUGAUCAUGUAUAACUUACUCUUUAAAAUGCUAUCCAAUGAUGAUAAAGAAAAAAAAAAAAACUCCAGCACAGAAGAGGUGUUGUUUAUACAUACUUUUUUUUGGCUAGUUGUUUCAUUGAAAUUAUCACUUAGUGGCUUGUUCAGCUGUGGCAUUUUAACCAGCUAACAGUUUAAGCUGAGCCAAUGCUCUCAAUAGUUCUUGAUAACCAUUCAUAAGACUUUUUCUUAAAGAGUUCUGAGAGUGUUAGUUAUGUGUGAAUCAGCUUAGGACAAAUAGAGAAAAUCUCUCGAGAAGACAACUGUGCUUUAAGUAACAUGCCAAAGCAGACAUAAAUUAUUAGAAUGCUGCUGUAUCUCUAGAAGUUGAAUAUUCUGUGGCUUCUUGGUAAAACUAGAUCUGUUGGGUCGCAGGAAGAAAAGUGAGGUUGAAGAAAAGAUAAAUACCAUUUUCUUUAUUUUUGCCAUCUUGAGCUUAUUGUUUAGUUACCCUGUCUCCCCACACAACACAAUCUCUAUGACCAGCUAAGAAAUUAUUUCCUUGACAGCAAAUUCCAUCACUUACUCUUAUAAAUAGCAAAGAAGUAAUUUACUAAGAGAGUUUGACAGAAAAAUUCUUUAAUCAAAACAAGUUUACACGUUGAUAUUACAGCUUAACUAGAAUAAAUCUGUCCAGGUUAAAACUGUAGUUAAGAACCAAACAGAUAAUGACUGGUCUAUUUGGGGGUUCUCUCAAAACAGUGGGUCCUAGUUCCAUUGUGAGACCUCUCAAAAGCAAAAACCCAGUUACUGAAAUAAUUCAAAUUUUUAAUCUGUAGAUGAAAACAGUUAUCCUAGAGGUCAAACCAUACAAUUUUUGACACAAACUGUUAUGUUAUUUUACCAUAUUAAUAUAGUUUGAACACAUGAGAAGUAUCAUUUUCUAUCAAAAACCACCAAAUGGCCCAAUAUUCAAAAUGUCUUAGAAAUACUAUCCUUUAGUAAAUAUACCCUUAAAGUUUUUUUUAACAUUGUUUUCACCCUGAUACAGUCUCUGCACAUCAACAUACAGACUGUCUGAAAGCACCACGUGGGAACAGCCAAUGUAUGAUACUGACGUGAAAAUAAAGAUUCCCCUCUAAUACAGCCACAUUUUCAAAUAGGUUAGUGUCCAAAUAUAGCAUUUACUUAUAUUUACUGCAUAAGCAUCACAGAUUGACUUUUUUCCAAUUAAAGAAACACUUCCUUAAUGAGUAGUAAGAAAAUUUAGAAAUGAGACAUUUCUCAAAAAUAAGCUUAUUUAGUUUUCAGUUUUAGUUAACUAGUGCCUAUAAAGGAUCUUAGAUGAUUGGAUUCUGAAGCCGGAUUCAUUCCUAUGCAUCCCCAGUCUGUUCUCUGCAGGGGAAUUGUAUGACUUCACUUAAUUCCUAGCCACAAAACUAACCUGCAGAAGUUAACAAACUCGUAAAAUUGUCAGUUGAGCGUCAUUUCUAGUUGGCAUACAGGAAAGGCGUGCAGAAUACACGUCGUUUCAAAGAAGGUGGACAGUGCGGCACAAUGUAGACUGUGAUGUUAAAAUUAGCUUUUGAUAAAAGGAGGGCAUGAGUACUUGUAUAGAGUAACAUUUUAUCUACCAUAAAAAUGCUCAACUUCUGCAAACCCCACAACCAGUGGAAAGACAGUCUGGUAAGUCCAGGAUUUAUAAAAAAUAUGCAUGAAACCCAUGGUAUUUGGAAAAAGGAAAUGUUUAUACAAGUGGUAGUUUUAAAGAUAUAAUUUUGUUCUAUCAGUUACACACUAACAUACACACUAAUUGAAAAGAUGCUACAACCAUGUCUGGAAAAACAGUUUGACAUUUCUCAGCCACCCACGUGGGUAAUUCGUAGUGGUUUGGGGUCACCAUCUCUCCUGACGGAAUGUGUACGCUACUGAUAAGUAAUCGUUUUCUUGUACUUAUCCACACAUUAAAAACUUAACAGUGGAAAAUAGCACCUGCCAUUAACACAGUGCGGACGCACGCUCAGGGUGACCCAGCAGCGCGGCAGCAUCACCAGCGAGCCUGCGGGGCUGUCACAGCAACAGUGAACAACGGCGGCCACACUCUCCGCGUGCAGUGCUGAGUUUUCAUGGAGCCGUUGCUGGACACUGUUUUUUUCUUAGGUGAAAAGAAACAUCAGAAGUAGUUGAGGGACCAGGAAGUGGGUCCUCUAGGAAUGAG